UGACAUUCAAAAAAGAUGAGAGGAGUGUGAUAGACCCAACCACUACAGUGCACACAGUUUCGUCACAGCUCCUCACAACUGGUGCUUUCGAUGGUACGGUUUAUAUGAUUCCACACAUCUCUUAGAGUAGCUGUCGUCAUCCUCUGCUAGGGUUUGGAGUCGUCAUAGCCUAGCAAGCUCGGCCUCAUUCUUCCAUUCUGCUUCGCGAAGCUGUUCCUUAAGCUACUGUCCUUCACCGUUCGAGUAUCGGAACUCUAGCUAACAUUUCUCAGUUGUGAGGAACACCUGCGGACAACAGGGAGGUGAUGGUUCUGCUGCAUAAUCUGCAUGGGCUGGAUCUUAGUUUCUUUGGGCUUUCUUUAGGGCUUUGUCCCAUGUAUUUCGAUAUGUUUUACUACUCUACCUUCAUCUGUUAAACUUUUUUUCUAGUUUCCUGUUGGCAUUGUGGUGUGCCUAACUUUGUAGG